UUAAGCGACUAAGCGUACACGGUGGAUGCCCUGGCAGUCAGAGGCGAUGAAGGACGUGCUAAUCUGCGAUAAGCGUCGGUGAGGUGAUAUGAACCGUUAUAACCGGCGAUUUCCGAAUGGGGAAACCCAGUGUGUUUCGACACACUAUCAUUAACUGAAUCCAUAGGUUAAUGAGGCGAACCGGGGGAACUGAAACAUCUAAGUACCCCGAGGAAAAGAAAUCAACCGAGAUUCCCCCAGUAGCGGCGAGCGAACGGGGAGGAGCCCAGAGCCUGAAUCAGUGUGUGUGUUAGUGGAAGCGUCUGGAAAGGCGUGCGAUACAGGGUGACAGCCCCGUACACAAAAAUGCACAUAUUGUGAGCUCGAUGAGUAGGGCGGGACACGUGGUAUCCUGUCUGAAUAUGGGGGGACCAUCCUCCAAGGCUAAAUACUCCUGACUGACCGAUAGUGAACCAGUACCGUGAGGGAAAGGCGAAAAGAACCCCGGCGAGGGGAGUGAAAAAGAACCUGAAACCGUGUACGUACAAGCAGUGGGAGCCUCUUAAUGGGGUGACUGCGUACCUUUUGUAUAAUGGGUCAGCGACUUAUAUUCUGUAGCAAGGUUAACCGAAUAGGGGAGCCGAAGGGAAACCGAGUCUUAACUGGGCGUUAAGUUGCAGGGUAUAGACCCGAAACCCGGUGAUCUAGCCAUGGGCAGGUUGAAGGUUGGGUAACACUAACUGGAGGACCGAACCGACUAAUGUUGAAAAAUUAGCGGAUGACUUGUGGCUGGGGGUGAAAGGCCAAUCAAACCGGGAGAUAGCUGGUUCUCCCCGAAAGCUAUUUAGGUAGCGCCUCGUGAAUUCAUCUCCGGGGGUAGAGCACUGUUUCGGCAAGGGGGUCAUCCCGACUUACCAACCCGAUGCAAAACUGCGAAUACCGGAGAAUGUUAUCACGGGAGACACACGGCGGGUGCUAACGUCCGUCGUGAAGAGGGAAACAACCCAGACCGCCAGCUAAGGUCCCAAAGUCAUGGUUAAGUGGGAAACGAUGUGGGAAGGCCCAGACAGCCAGGAUGUUGGCUUAGAAGCAGCCAUCAUUUAAAGAAAGCGUAAUAGCUCACUGGUCGAGUCGGCCUGCGCGGAAGAUGUAACGGGGCUAAACCAUGCACCGAAGCUGCGGCAGCGACACUAUGUGUUGUUGGGUAGGGGAGCGUUCUGUAAGCCUGUGAAGGUGGCCUGUGAGGGUUUGCUGGAGGUAUCAGAAGUGCGAAUGCUGACAUAAGUAACGAUAAAGCGGGUGAAAAGCCCGCUCGCCGGAAGACCAAGGGUUCCUGUCCAACGUUAAUCGGGGCAGGGUGAGUCGACCCCUAAGGCGAGGCCGAAAGGCGUAGUCGAUGGGAAAACAGGUUAAUAUUCCUGUACUUGGUGUUACUGCGAAGGGGGGACGGAGAAGGCUAUGUUGGCCGGGCGACGGUUGUCCCGGUUUAAGCGUGUAGGCUGAUUUUCCAGGCAAAUCCGGAAAAUCAAGGCUGAGGCGUGAUGACGAGGCACUACGGUGCUGAAGCAACAAAUGCCCUGCUUCCAGGAAAAGCCUCUAAGCAUCAGGUAACAUCAAAUCGUACCCCAAACCGACACAGGUGGUCAGGUAGAGAAUACCAAGGCGCUUGAGAGAACUCGGGUGAAGGAACUAGGCAAAAUGGUGCCGUAACUUCGGGAGAAGGCACGCUGAUAUGUAGGUGAAGCGACUUGCUCGUGGAGCUGAAAUCAGUCGAAGAUACCAGCUGGCUGCAACUGUUUAUUAAAAACACAGCACUGUGCAAACACGAAAGUGGACGUAUACGGUGUGACGCCUGCCCGGUGCCGGAAGGUUAAUUGAUGGGGUUAGCGGCAACGCGAAGCUCUUGAUCGAAGCCCCGGUAAACGGCGGCCGUAACUAUAACGGUCCUAAGGUAGCGAAAUUCCUUGUCGGGUAAGUUCCGACCUGCACGAAUGGCGUAAUGAUGGCCAGGCUGUCUCCACCCGAGACUCAGUGAAAUUGAACUCGCUGUGAAGAUGCAGUGUACCCGCGGCAAGACGGAAAGACCCCGUGAACCUUUACUAUAGCUUGACACUGAACAUUGAGCCUUGAUGUGUAGGAUAGGUGGGAGGCUUUGAAGUGUGGACGCCAGUCUGCAUGGAGCCGACCUUGAAAUACCACCCUUUAAUGUUUGAUGUUCUAACGUUGGCCCGUAAUCCGGGUUGCGGACAGUGUCUGGUGGGUAGUUUGACUGGGGCGGUCUCCUCCUAAAGAGUAACGGAGGAGCACGAAGGUUGGCUAAUCCUGGUCGGACAUCAGGAGGUUAGUGCAAUGGCAUAAGCCAGCUUGACUGCGAGCGUGACGGCGCGAGCAGGUGCGAAAGCAGGUCAUAGUGAUCCGGUGGUUCUGAAUGGAAGGGCCAUCGCUCAACGGAUAAAAGGUACUCCGGGGAUAACAGGCUGAUACCGCCCAAGAGUUCAUAUCGACGGCGGUGUUUGGCACCUCGAUGUCGGCUCAUCACAUCCUGGGGCUGAAGUAGGUCCCAAGGGUAUGGCUGUUCGCCAUUUAAAGUGGUACGCGAGCUGGGUUUAGAACGUCGUGAGACAGUUCGGUCCCUAUCUGCCGUGGGCGCUGGAGAACUGAGGGGGGCUGCUCCUAGUACGAGAGGACCGGAGUGGACGCAUCACUGGUGUUCGGGUUGUCAUGCCAAUGGCACUGCCCGGUAGCUAAAUGCGGAAGAGAUAAGUGCUGAAAGCAUCUAAGCACGAAACUUGCCCCGAGAUGAGUUCUCCCUGACUCCUUGAGAGUCCUGAAGGAACGUUGAAGACGACGACGUUGAUAGGCCGGGUGUGUAAGCGCAGCGAUGCGUUGAGCUAACCGGUACUAAUGAACCGUGAGGCUUAACCUU
rnacentral:rRNA from 1 species